rnacentral:rRNA from 1 species
UACAGAGGGGGCAAGCGUUGUUCGGAAUUACUGGGCGUAAAGGGCGCGUAGGCGGCCUUCUAAGUCGAACGUGAAAUCCCUGGGCUCAACCCAGGAACUGCGUCCGAUACUGGAAGGCUUGAAUCCGGGAGAGGGAUGCGGAAUUCCAGGUGUAGCGGUGAAAUGCGUAGAUAUCUGGAGGGACACCAGUGGCGAAGGCGACAUCCUGGACCGGCAUUGACGCUGAGGCGCGAAAGCCAGGGGAGCAAACGGG